rnacentral:rRNA from 1 species
UACGUAGGGUGCGAGCGUUGUCCGGAAUUAUUGGGCGUAAAGAGCUCGUAGGCGGCUUGUCGCGUCGGAUGUGAAAGCCCGGGGCUUAACUCCGGGUCUGCAUUCGAUACGGGCAGGCUAGAGUUCGGUAGGGGAGAUCGGAAUUCCUGGUGUAGCGGUGAAAUGCGCAGAUAUCAGGAGGAACACCGAUGGCGAAGGCAGCUCGCUGGGACGGUACUGACGCUGAGACGCGAAAGCGUGGGGAGCAAACAGG